CCUACGGGAGGCAGCAGUGGGGAAUUUUGGACAAUGGGCGCAAGCCUGAUCCAGCAAUGCCGCGUGAGUGAAGAAGGCCUUCGGGUUGUAAAGCUCUUUUGUCAGGGAAGAAACGGUGGGGGCUAAUAUCUCCUACUAAUGACGGUACCUGAAGAAUAAGCACCGGCUAACUACGUGCCAGCAGCCGCGGUAAUACGUAGGGUGCAAGCGUUAAUCGGAAUUACUGGGCGUAAAGCGUGCGCAGGCGGUUUUGUAAGUCUGUCGUGAAAGCCCCGGGCUCAACCUGGGAAUUGCGAUGGAGACUGCAAGGCUUGAAUCUGGCAGAGGGGGGUAGAAUUCCACGUGUAGCAGUGAAAUGCGUAGAGAUGUGGAGGAACACCGAUGGCGAAGGCAGCCCCCUGGGUCAAGAUUGACGCUCAUGCACGAAAGCGUGGGGAGCAAACAGGAUUAGAUACCCUGGUAGUCCACGCCCUAAACGAUGUCUACUAGUUGUCGGGUUUUAAUUAACUUGGUAACGCAGCUAACGCGUGAAGUAGACCGCCUGGGGAGUACGGUCGCAAGAUUAAAACUUAAGGAAUUGACGGNGUGAGAGNGCGACGACGACGACGAGGGAGGAGG
rnacentral:rRNA from 1 species